rnacentral:lncRNA from 13 species
AAGGAGAGGAAGCUGGGGACCCUCUGAUCUCCUGCCUCACCUCCUAUUAGUCAAAGUCAGUCAGAAGCCAAAGGGCAGAGAGCAAAGGUUGAUCAGCCUCUGCAGCUCAACCUCCAGACACAGGUCAGGUCUGAGCACUGGGCCAGGUGCAGAAGUCUGGAGAGGAAGCCUGAGGACAAAUGGAAACUCCAGCACAGAGUGGGCAGUGUGUAUUUUAUUCCGAGAACAAUGUAGGCAGCUGGGCCAGGAUUGAAGAGUGACUCUAUUUGAUUCCAAAUCCUACCAUCUCUUCACUGCAACAUGACAGCCCUGCCCUGCCAAGAAGAGGAAAGGCCAAGUGAGGACAGAGCAAGAAGGUGGCCAUCUGCCAGUCAGGGAGAGAGCCCUCACCAGAAACCUAAUGCUCUGGCACUUCGACCUUGGACUUCCAGUCUCCACAACUGUAAGAAAAUAAAUUUCUGUUGUUUGGUAAUCCCAGCAUUUUGGGAGGCCGAGGUGGGUGGAUCACUUUAGGUCAAGACCAACCUGGGCAACAUGGUGAAACCCCACCUCUAGUGAAAAUACAAAAAUUAGCUGGGCAUGGUGGCAAACGCCUGUAAUUCCAGCUACUCAGGAGGCUGAGGGAGGACAAUUGCUUGAACCUGGGAGCUGGAGGUGGCAGUGAGCCAAGACUGCACCAUUGCACUCCAGCUUGGGUGACAGAGUGAGACCCUGUCUUGGAAUAAAAAGAAAAGAAAAGAAUCUGUUAG